rnacentral:lncRNA from 1 species
UAACAGAUUUACUAUAGGAACACCUGACUAAAUUUUUAAAGGCAUUUUCUGCUGCAAAAUAUUUUUAUCUAUUGUGAGGGAGUUAAUCUCCAAAUAACAGUAAUAAUCAAAGUAAUAAUCAAAUCUCCCAAGCAUGACAUGCUCAAAUAUGUCUGAUCAUCCUUGAUUCAAUAUUAUAAGACGAUACCAGCUAAAAAUUUUACAUUUGCUUCACAUUUGUUUUGCCUUAGGCACUUAGGAAUGAAUUUUCAGAUUUCAAGCCUGGACUGAAAUAUACUACUAUUGAAGGGACCAGCACUAAAUAAGUGUCAUUCUCUAAUAAGCAAUAUUUUAGAAAAGAUUGUUCUCUACCUCCCCCUGCAGCUUCUCUGCUGCUCUUUUUGUGGUCCAGCAUCCUUCAUUUAAGGCUUUGGCUUUACCAACAGCUUUUUUGCCCUUAGUAUUUAGUUAAGUAUGAGAUAGAGCGGGAGAGAAAACUUUUGCUCAUUGUACUAAGGCAAUAUUUUUCCCGCUUUGUCUAAUAUUGACCACUCACUAUACUGGCUUUUUGAAAUGUGUUUUUGCUAGCUGUAGAUAAGAAAAAAAAAUACGGCAAUAGAGUUCAAUUUGCUUUUAAAGAAUUGAUAUUUGAGCAGUUAAAAUUUGAACUUCGUCGUGCAUGGAAUAGCUUUCUGGCAUCAACCCAUUAAUAUGUUAUGUGACUCUUCCCCUUCCUCCUCAUCCCCACGCUCAGUUAUGUGUUCCAAAAUGAUCUUCACAUAAUUUCUUAUAGCAGUUUUUGAUAAUAGUAGGUAGAAAUGACAUGAUUAAAAUGAUGCUAUUAACGAUAGCUGGUGUCAAAAUUAGCUUCAAAGUUGAUCAUGAGACUUGAAGAAAGAUUUCAAAGCCAAAUUGGAAUAUGCCAGGUUUUGUGUGCAAUAUGUUCUUUUCAAUCUUGGCAAAAUUUGAAAAUACAAUUCAAGUACUCCUCACGUACCUACUAUGUGCUGAGCACCUUGCUACACACGUGAAAGUAUCUAUGCAUUUGUUGUGGCAAAAUAGAGCACAGGAGACUAUUACACCAUAAGUGACUUUAUAAAUGCAGAGAAUUUGUGGGCACAGAGACAGGGGAAGUCCUAAAGGAUGCAAUCUUAAACAUCUGGACCAAAUAGAGGCUCAAGAGUUCCUUAAGAA